rnacentral:tRNA from 1 species
GGGCCCAUAGUAAAAUGGUAUUACGCCUCCAUGGCAUGGAGGAGGUAGGAGUCCGAUUCUCCUUGGGUCCA